GAACGCGAAAGUCCCGCAAGGGAUUAGUAGAGUGGCAAACGGGUGAGUAACACGUGGGUGACCUGCCUUCGAGCGGGGGAUAACGUCCCGAAAGGGACGCUAAUACCGCAUAACAUCCCGCCUUUUAAGAGGUGGAGAUCAAAGCCGGGGAUUCGCAAGAACCUGGCACUUGAAGAGGGGCCCGCGCCUGAUUAGCUAGUUGGUGGGGUAAUGGCCUACCAAGGCAACGAUCAGUAUCCGGCCUGAGAGGGCGGACGGACACACUGGGACUGAGACACGGCCCAGACUCCUACGGGAGGCAGCAGUGGGGAAUUGUUCGCAAUGGGCGCAAGCCUGACGACGCAACGCCGCGUGGAGGAUGAAGACCUUCGGGUCGUAAACUCCUUUCGAUCGAGACGAAUGUUUUUCGGCUGAAUAAUCCGGAAAAGUGACGGUACCGAGAGAAGAAGCCCCGGCUAACUCUGUGCCAGCAGCCGCGGUAAUACAGGGGGGGCAAGCGUUGUUCGGAAUUACUGGGCGUAAAGGGCUCGUAGGUGGCCAACUAAGUCAGACGUGAAAUCCCUCAGCUUAACUGGGGAACUGCGUCUGAUACUGGAUGGCUUGAGUUUGGGAGAGGGAUGCGGAAUUCCAGGUGUAGCGGUGAAAUGCGUAGAUAUCUGGAGGAACACCGGUGGCGAAGGCGGCAUCCUGAACCAACACUGAC
rnacentral:rRNA from 1 species